GACGAACGCUGGCGGCGUGCCUAAUACAUGCAAGUCGAACGCAGUGGGGACGGGUGAGUAACACGUGGGUAACCUCCCAUCAGAGGGGAUAACACUUGGAAACAGGUGCUAAACCGAUACUGAUGGAUGGAGCCGUGGUGGAUUAGCGAGUGGGUGGGGUAACGGCCCACCAAGGCCACGAUGCAUAGCGGGCCUGAGAGGGGGAUCGGCCACACUGGGACGGAGACACGGCCCAGACUCCUACGGGAGGCAGUAGUGGGGAAUCUUCGGCAAUGGGCGAAAGUCUGACCGAGCAACGCCGCGUGAGUGAAGAAGGUUUUCGGGUCGUAAAAUUCUGUUGUUAGGGAGGCGGUAUCUAACCAGAAAGCCACGGCUAACUACGUGCCAGCAGCCGCGGUAAUAC
rnacentral:rRNA from 1 species